rnacentral:lncRNA from 1 species
UUUCUCUUGCACUGCGGUUCUGACUGAUGUAGCCAAGACUAAGCUUCACCCUCUGAAUAAUGUAUUAAUUCCUCUGCAAGGAGUGGAAGUCUAGAGACUAAUUUCUGUAGAGAGACAUAGGACAACUUGUACCCCAAAGUGCAAGAUGAGCGUAAGGCAAUCUACAGUCAGAGAGAGCAUGGAGACGUUUUAUGGCUCCUUCGCUGCAAGGUGCUAAAAAUCCACCCGAAGACGCACCCGCCGCGCGGCUGGCAUUUGCAUGCAACUCCAUAUUCAUGUGCUCUCUCUUCUUUUCCAAGUGCUGCGUUCAACCCCCAUUAAAAGGGAGCUAGUGAGUAACGCUGGUGCCCUGAUGUGCUGCUGGAUGCAGACCUGGGGCCAGGUGUCCACAGAGCAGGUGAAGGGGGAUGGCCCAGGGAGGAUGGCAAAUGUGUAG